GGCGGCGUGCCUAAUACAUGCAAGUCGAACGAGUUCUGAUUAUUGAAAGGUGCUUGCAUCUUGAUUUAAUUUUGAACGAGUGGCGGACGGGUGAGUAACACGUGGGUAACCUGCCCUUAAGUGGGGGAUAACAUUUGGAAACAGAUGCUAAUACCGCAUAAAUCCAAGAACCGCAUGGUUCUUGGCUGAAAGAUGGCGUAAGCUAUCGCUUUUGGAUGGACCCGCGGCGUAUUAGCUAGUUGGUGAGGUAACGGCUCACCAAGGCAAUGAUACGUAGCCGAACUGAGAGGUUGAUCGGCCACAUUGGGACUGAGACACGGCCCAAACUCCUACGGGAGGCAGCAGUAGGGAAUCUUCCACAAUGGACGCAAGUCUGAUGGAGCAACGCCGCGUGAGUGAAGAAGGCUUUCGGGUCGUAAAACUCUGUUGUUGGAGAAGAAUGGUCGGCAGAGUAACUGUUGUCGGCGUGACGGUAUCCAACCAGAAAGCCACGGCUAACUACGUGCCAGCAGCCGCGGUAAUACGUAGGUGGCAAGCGUUAUCCGGAUUCAUUGGGCGUAAAGCGAGCGCAGGCGGUUUCCUAAGUCUGAUGUGACAGCCCUCGGCUUAACCGAGGAAGUGCAUCGGAAAC
rnacentral:rRNA from 1 species